UUAUUUUUAUUUUUAAAUAAAAAGCAGUAAUGACUAGCGAAAAAAUAAAACACAAAAGCCUAGAAAAACAUUACCGUGGCAACUGAACUCAGAUGAGUCAAGUUAUUGAAAUACCGGUCCGCCAAAAUAAGGCAGACCUGUGAAGACGCUGUUGCAGUAAUCAGUACGACUAAAGAUAAACACAUGGAUGGGCGUCUCUAGAUCCUGCUGUGUAACCUGUUAAGAAACGGCUCAUAGGAUCUGCACUUCAAUCAACUCCCGAAAAGCCGCAGUGCAGUUUUCUCCUUGAGAUGUCUGAUUUAGCACGCAGGAUGUAAAUCAUCCAUGACAAGCACUCAUCCAACACAGACGCAGCUUUAAUUUAAACAGCAGU